UACGAGGGGGGCGAGCGUUGUUCGGAAUUAUUGGGCGUAAAGAGCUCGUAGGCGGCCUGUUGCGUCCGCUGUGAAAGCCCGGGGCUUAACCCCGGGUCGGCAGUGGAUACGGGCAGGCUAGAGGUAGGUAGGGGAGAAUGGAAUUCCCGGUGUAGCGGUGAAAUGCGCAGAUAUCGGGAGGAACACCGGUGGCGAAGGCGGUUCUCUGGGCCUUACCUGACGCUGAGGAGCGAAAGCGUGGGGAGCGAACAGG
rnacentral:rRNA from 1 species